AGCGGCUCUCAGACCACCCCUCACUGGACGUUCGAAACCCACAGGAAGAUGCAAAAACCUCACAGAAGCCCAUAAGCAAAGAAUAUAUAUCAAGCAUGCAAAUAACUCAUCUGCUGUCUCCAAAUGGCAGUUGACCUUGGGGGUUGCUAUUGGAGUGACUGACAUUCUGGUGAAGUGAGUGGAGUCUCAGACCUUGGAGGAAAAUGGGAGUCAGAUCCAACCUGGGUUUUGCAGCUAGUGCAGUACUGAUGCCCCAAGGAGCCAUUUUGGGAGUGACAUUCAAGUCCCUGGCCCAGUGGAGGGCAGCCACGUCAAAUCUAGGCUCGAACUUGGUGAGACAAAUGUCAUGUAAGAACUUAGCUAAGUUUUAAGACUAUUUUCCUGGAGACUUAGAUGGUGUAGGGGAGAGUAUGCCCUGGAGGAAAUGGCUGUAUAUUUAUUCUUGACAUAUCUUUGAAGUUAACAUAUUUUUAUAAAAGCCAGCCAGUGUUAAAUGGUUAAAUGGAAAUGCGAGCUAGUCACUGGCCCCUAGCAAUGAGGAAUGCAGAUGGUGGUGGCUUGAGCCCAUGGCGGUGGAGAAGAAAGAACCCCACAAACCCCUCCGGGUCCCCUAGAGCCUUGAGGGGGCCAUGUACUCAACCUGGUCUUGAGAGAGUGGGGCCAGAAUGUACGUGUGACCCAUGAUUAUAUGUCUAUUAUAAUGUAAACAACAGACCACUCUUGGUUGGGGGAAACACGCCUCCUUCUUUUCAAGAGAAAUGGGAAGGGCUGUGCUACAGGGUGGAGAGUGUUUCAUCCACUGUCAAACACUGGCAUUGAAUAGAUUGGCUGUGCUUAAUUGUUUUUCUUUGUUAUUAGAGAGGCCUCAUUUCUCUCUCCCUCUCUCUCCCUCCCUUCCCUCACCAGCUCCCAUAGAUUCAGUUAUCAUCUUUACAUCUAUAUGUUUAGUCCUAGGCUCUCUCCUGAUUUACAAUCCUGCAUCACCAGCUAUCCAUUAGACAGUUCAAGGUGGGUAUCCCAUAGGUGUGUCAAACUUCACAUUUCCAAAAUCAUUUAUUUUUCUCCCCCACCAAAGCCACCCCUCUUCUAAACGUGCUCGUUGUCAAUGCCACAACCAUUCUUCCUCAGUCAUGCCGACUCCUCACUCUCAGUCACUCCGUGUGUCCAGUCACCCCCUACUGUACCUCACUGCCUGUUCUUGUCUCCUAGUCCCACAGCCCUCAGACCAGGACUUUGGGUAUUUAGAGGAGGGGGGACCCUCCCAUCAAUGGGAAGGGAAUAAGAAUGCUAGCUGACUUUCAGAUAGCACUUCAAAAUUUUGCAGAGCAUUUUAUGCCCAUUAUUUCAUCCUACACCCAGCCAAGUCAACAAGCAUUUAUUAAGUGCUAAGCACUGAGAAACUAAGCAUAACCAGAAAGAAAUACAGUCUCUGUCCUCAAAGAGUGUCCUUGUCAGAGAAUACCUCCUAUAAAAGGAAGCUAAAGGGGGGCAGAGCAUGGAGGUAGCCAGCUAGAAGCAUUCUAGAAAAAGUCUGGGAGGGCCAGGAGGGCAGCCUGGAGAGGAAGGAAGGUACGGCUGCCCUGGGUGCUCUCCUUCAAAUGGAGGUUCUGGGAGGAAGGAGCCAAUCAGAGGGAGGGACCGAGGAGGUUUGGACUACUUCCAGUGUGGGAAGUCCAGGGGUGAAGCAAGCUUCCAGAGUACUUUCCAUGGAAUGGUAAAGUCCAAAAGAGUCAAGAGUGCAUCAGGAGUGCAUCCUGGAGAGAGAUGAUCCUUUGAGAUUGGUACGACUGCUACCCAUAGGUACUAUUAUUCUCAUUGUUCAUAUGGGGAAACCAAGGCUUAGAGCAGUUCAGUGACUUAUCCUGGGUCACACAGCUGAUGAAUGCCAGGGGUGAGGUGUGAGCCUAUGCUGGGGUUCUAGCGGCUCUACCAUCCCUCUUAUAUAAGUUGAGAAAGGAGCCUUAGGGAUCACUUAAAUCAACCCCUUCAUUUCACAAAAGGAGGAAACUGAAUUCUUAAGAUGAGAAAUGAUUCUUGCUGAGGAGUCCCAGGGGGCAGUCCUUUCCUUGUGCUAAGUGCCCUCUGGAACUGUCCCAAAGAAGGUUCCGCUUCUCAAGAGGUCCUUGAGUGAGCACAAGAUGGACACUUGUGGAGAUGUUAUGGAGGCAUUCCUUUGUAGGGAUGGGAGGGACAAGACGGGCCCUUUCCAAAUUGGAGAUUACUUGAUGCUUAUGGGGACUCCAUGAGCCUCUAUUUCUUCCCCUGUAAAAUGGAAGUAAUAAUUCCUGAACCUGUGGUGACCUACCUCAGAGGGUUACUUUGACCUUCAAAUGAGAUUGUGCAUAUAAAACGCUCUUCUGCUUCCUUUGCAGUCAGAUCAGCUGCCAAAGCAAUAUUCCUAAAGCUUGUUUCUGACCAUGUUACCUCCCUCCCCCUAUAAACUCCAGUAGCUCCCUAUUACCUCCAAGAUCAAAUACAAAAUCCUGUUUGGCAUUCAAAGCCCUUCCAAACCUGCUCACCCCACCUCAACCCAUUUCCAGUCAUCUCAACCUUACUCCCUCCACAUGCUCUGCCGUCCAUCUACACCAGCCUCCUGACUGUUCCCGGAACAAAACGUUCUAUCUCCCAAACUAAGCAUUUUUCCCAGAUGUCCCCCAUGCCCUGGAUGCCUCCCCGCCUCAUCUCUACCUUGCAGCUUCCUCAGCUUCCUUCAGGUACCAGCUAAAAUCCCACCUUUCACAAUCCCUUUUAAUUCCAGGGCCUUCCUUUUAUUAUUUCCUUGUCCACAUGUUGUCUUCCCCACCAGACUGGGGACAGGUCUUGACCUUUCUCUAUGUCCCCAGCACACAGUGCAGUGCCAGACGUGUAGUAGGCGCUUUUCAUAACUGUUUCUUGACUGGCUAACUUAAACCUCUCUUGCUGUCAUUUCAAUUCAUCCUUCUAGUCCUGGGCUCCAGCGUUCUUCAGGGCCCAUCACAGGCUGUUAGUUCCUUGAUGGAAAAUAGCAGAUGGAGAUGCUGUUAAAAAUAGAAAUCAGGCCCAGAAGAGGGGAGAGGAACCUGGCUGCUAAUCACAUGGAAGGGGCCUGGGAUUGUGCCUUGGAAAUCACAAGAGUUUACUGCGCAGGGGAUUAAGGCUUCAGCAUCUGGGGAGUGUCUGUUGGGGCAGCUCUGUGGCGACGAUUGUGGUGAUGACGGGAGUGACUGUGCUAUCGAUACCCAAGCAGGCCCCAUCUUCCAGGGCCAGCCCAGGCCAGACCUCCGUCUGCUCCAUGAGCUCACACUCCCCUGCCCUCGCUCCCAGCUCCCAACAUACACACACACACACACACACACACACACACCCAACUCUGUUUAAUUCCCCAAUACACAGGACUCUAUUUAACUUCCUCCUUUCUGCCGAUCAGUCCAGUUGCCCCAGCUCCCUCCAUCCUUGACCCAGAUUCAGCCAGCCCACCCAAGGCUCUCAGUUCCUAAGACCAUCAGAGUAGAAAGGGUGCUUGGAGCAUAGAGUGUCAGAGCUGAGAAAGUCCUCAGAACAUGGGAUGUCAGAGAUCGUAAGAGCCUUAGAUCAUAGA